rnacentral:rRNA from 1 species
GACGAACGCUGGCGGCGUGCCUAAUACAUGCAAGUUGAGCGCUGAAGGUUGGUACUUGUACCGACUGGAUGAGCAGCGAACGGGUGAGUAACGCGUGGGGAAUCUGCCUUUGAGCGGGGGACAACAUUUGGAAACGAAUGCUAAUACCGCAUAAAAACUUUAAACACAAGUUUUAAGUUUGAAAGAUGCAAUUGCAUCACUCAAAGAUGAUCCCGCGUUGUAUUAGCUAGUUGGUGAGGUAAAGGCUCACCAAGGCGAUGAUACAUAGCCGACCUGAGAGGGUGAUCGGCCACAUUGGGACUGAGACACGGCCCAAACUCCUACGGGAGGCAGCAGUAGGGAAUCUUCGGCAAUGGACGAAAGUCUGACCGAGCAACGCCGCGGGAGUGAAGAAGGUUGUCGGAUCGGAAAACUCUGUUGGUAGAGAAGAACGUUGGUGAGAGUGGAAAGCUCAUCAAGUGACGGUAACUACCCAGAAAGGGACGGCUAACUACGUG